GUAACUCCUCCUGGAAAGAUCAAUCAAAGUCUUGGCUCUGAAUCUGAUGAUACUGGUCCCAGUGAGAACACGUCAAUUGAAGUUGGAAGCUCUAGUAUACCAAGCACAAUAUCUCGUAGAAGUUUUCAUCACACCAGAAAUCAGGAAUAGGUAAACCAGAUACCCGAAUAGGCUCACCGCUUUUAUUGGUAUCUAAAAGCACAAGCCAAGGGACACGUGCUAGUCCACACAGGAAUGGUCUAAGAAACCUUAGAUGCAGUUCAAUAUCAGAUGUUGUCCCUACAGGAUCUUCAACAUCAGAUUCAAAUCUCAUUAGACGAAAAGACACAAUUAAGAAGAGAAUUUCUGAUGGAGAAAGUAGUUCCUCUGCUAAAGGGAAGAAAAUAAGUGGGCC
rnacentral:misc_RNA from 1 species